rnacentral:lncRNA from 1 species
CUGGGCUGGGGCUGCACCGGGCUCCUCAUUGUUUGCUGAGUGGCCCCGCGACGCCGGUGCCGCCGUGGGCCUGCCUGCCCGCUGCGCCGCAGGCCUCGUGCCCUGCCCGACGGUGGCAGCUCCUCGUCCCCGGCUGCACGGGGGUCUGAUGAGGCAGAGACCUCGGCCAGCUUGGAGCUCCUCUCCCUGGGCCCGCCGCGCUGUCUGCUG